AUUGAACGCUGGCGGCAGGCCUAACACAUGCAAGUCGAGCGAGCGGCGGACGGGUGAGUAAUAUAUGGGAAUCUGCCCGAUAGAGGGGGAUAACUACUGGAAACGGUGGCUAAUACCGAAUACUAUCGGAUGAACCCAUAUGGGAUUAGCUAGUAGGUGGGGUAAAGGCUCACCAAGGCGACGAUCCCUAGCUGGUCUGAGAGGAUGACCAGCCACACUGGGACUGAGACACGGCCCAGACUCCUACGGGAGGCAGCAUUGGGGAAUUUUGCACAAUGGGCGCAAGCCUGAUGCAGCCAUGCCGCGUGUAUGAUGAAGGCCUUAGGGUUGUAAAGUACUUUCAGCGGGGAGGCGUUACCUGCAGAAGAAGCACCGGCUAACUCCGUGCCAGCAGCCGCGGUAAUAC
rnacentral:rRNA from 1 species